GAUGAACGCUAGCUACAGGUUUUAACACAUGCAAGUCGAGGGGCAUCAGGAAGAAAGCUUGCUUUCUUUGCUGGCGACCGGCGCACGGGUGAGUAACACGUAUCCAACCUGCCCUUUACUCGGGGAUAGCCUUUCGAAAGAAAGAUUAAUACCCGAUAGCAUAAUGAUUCCGCAUGGUUUCAUUAUUAAAGGAUUCCGGUAAAGGAUGGGGAUGCGUUCCAUUAGGUUGUUGGUGAGGUAACGGCUCACCAAGCCUUCGAUGGAUAGGGGUUCUGAGAGGAAGGUCCCCCACAUUGGAACUGAGACACGGUCCAAACUCCUACGGGAGGCAGCAGUGAGGAAUAUUGGUCAAUGGGCGCUAGCCUGAACCAGCCAAGUAGCGUGAAGGAUGAAGGCUCUAUGGGUCGUAAACUUCUUUUAUAUAAGAAUAAAGUGCAGUAUGUAUACUGUUUUGUAUGUAUUAUAUGAAUAAGGAUCGGCUAACUCCGUGCCAGCAGCCGCGGUAAUACGGAGGAUCCGAGCGUUAUCCGGAUUUAUUGGGUUUAAAGGGAGCGUAGGUGGACUGGUAAGUCAGUUGUGAAAGUUUGCGGCUCAACCGUAAAAUUGCAGUUGAUACUGUCAGUCUUGAGUACAGUAGAGGUGGGCGGAAUUCGUGGUGUAGCGGUGAAAUGCUUAGAUAUCACGAAGAACUCCGAUUGCGAAGGCAGCUCACUGGACUGNCACUGACACUGAUGCUCGAAAGUGUGGGUAUCAAACAGG
rnacentral:rRNA from 1 species